rnacentral:rRNA from 1 species
UACGGAGGGUGCAAGCGUUAUCCGGAUUCACUGGGUUUAAAGGGUGCGUAGGUGGGCAGAUAAGUCAGUGGUGAAAUCCCUGAGCUUAACUCAGGAACUGCCAUUGAUACUAUUUGUCUUGAAUACCGUGGAGGUGAGCGGAAUAUGUCAUGUAGCGGUGAAAUGCUUAGAUAUGACAUAGAACACCAAUUGCGAAGGCAGCUCACUACACGAAUAUUGACACUGAGGCACGAAAGCGUGGGGAUCAAACAGG